GAGGGUGGGCGAGGGCGGCUGAGCGGCUCCAUCCCCCGGCCUGCUCAUCCCCCUCGCCCUCUCAG
ensembl:miRNA MIR6729 microRNA 6729